GAUGAACGCUGGCGGCGUGCCUAAUACGUGCAAGUCGAGCGAACGGACGAGAAGCUUGCUUCUCUGAUGUUAGCGGCGGACGGGUGAGUAACACGUGGAUAACCUACCUAUAAGACUGGGAUAACUUCGGGAAACCGGAGCUAAUACCGGAUAAUAUUUUGAACCGCAUGGUUCAAAAGUGAAAGACGGUCUUGCUGUCACUUAUAGAUGGAUCCGCGCUGCAUUAGCUAGUUGGUAAGGUAACGGCUUACCAAGGCAACGAUGCAUAGCCGACCUGAGAGGGUGAUCGGCCACACUGGAACUGAGACACGGUCCAGACUCCUACGGGAGGCAGCAGUAGGGAAUCUUCCGCAAUGGGCGAAAGCCUGACGGAGCAACGCCGCGUGAGUGAUGAAGGUCUUCGGAUCGUAAAACUCUGUUAUUAGGGAAGAACAUAUGUGUAAGUAACUGUGCACAUCUUGACGGUACCUAAUCAGAAAGCCACGGCUAACUACGUG
rnacentral:rRNA from 1 species